rnacentral:rRNA from 1 species
GGCUAAUCCUGGUCGGACAUCAGGAGGUUAGUGCAAUGGCAUAAGCCAGCUUGACUGCGAGCGUGACGGCGCGAGCAGGUGCGAAAGCAGGUCAUAGUGAUCCGGUGGUUCUGAAUGGAAGGGCCAUCGCUCAACGGAUAAAAGGUACUCCGGGGAUAACAGGCUGAUACCGCCCAAGAGUUCAUAUCGACGGCGGUGUUUGGCACCUCGAUGUCGGCUCAUCACAUCCUGGGGCUGAAGUAGGUCCCAAGGGUAUGGCUGUUCGCCAUUUAAAGUGGUACGCGAGCUGGGUUUAGAACGUCGUGAGACAGUUCGGUCCCUAUCUGCCGUGGGCGCUGGAGAACUGAGGGGGGCUGCUCCUAGUACGAGAGGACCGGAGUGGACGCAUCACUGGUGUUCGGGUUGUCAUGCCAAUGGCACUGCCCGGUAGCUAAAUGCGGAAGAGAUAAGUGCUGAAAGCAUCUAAGCACGAAACUUGCCCCG